AUGUUCAUCCAUCAAGAGGCAGGUUGGUUGUGUGAUAAAAGGUUCAGUACUAACCCCCAGCAAGGGGCCGACCUCCAGCCUCGGUUGGCCUGUCAAACAAUAAGAAAUAUUGAGCAGCAGGUUAGAGGUCAAAGGACCAGUGAGCUCAGAGGGUGUCGAAGGCCAGUAAAUGCCUUUGGUUAUAGCUGUGGCCGAACACACACGCUGUGGCCAAACUGUUUGUGUACACUGAAGGUGACCUGGCCAGCCACUCUGACAGUAAUCAAGCAACUAUACAGCUGCAUGAUGGUCAAAUGUUUAUUUCUGGAACAGCUUAUCACGUGGGCAUAUCUGAUCAGGAACAGCAACAUUGUCACAGAGAUCACAGAGAGCGCCGUGCCCAGCUGACAAGGAAUUGCAUAACGGAGUCUCGACUCACUUUCAAGCGUCUCUGUGUUGAAACAGUCUGGCAUGAAAUACCUGGGUUCGGUCAAUCAAUGUUUGCGAUUUGUUUCAGUUUUUCUAUCCUAACGUUGGAUGGAAUUUGUUCAUCUUUCCUGAUAUUAGCUAAAGGCAUGAUCAUCUUAAGGUCAAACUGAGAGGGGACUGGUGUGCGUGUGUCUUUGAAUGUUAUGCUUUUGAACAUUGACAGUUAACUGGAGAAAGUGGGAGGUAAACGCUCAGGGGCAAACAAAGCAAAGCCUUGGCAAACUGUUGGAGGGAAGGGUGUGUGUAGGUGAAACACAGUUCACACUGUGUGAAUGGGCCGGGGAUAUUUAUAAAGCCCACCAGGCAUCACGUCAGGAGGCUAGGCUGAAAAAUGUUGUUCCCAGAUGGACCGUCUCAGGCAGAUUAUUUAUUACUGAACUGCUUCCUUAUAUACUGAAACAACAAUAUAAACUCAACAUGUAAAGUGUUGGUCCCAUGUUUCAUGAUCCAAAAUAAAAGAUCCCUGAAAUGUUCCAUGCGCACUAAAAGCCUAUUUCUCUCAAAUUUUAUGCAGAAAUGUGUAUACGUCCCUGUUAGUAAGCAUUUCUCCUUUUCCAAGAUAAUCCAUCUGACGUGGAUAUAUUCUUGAUAUGUGGCAUAUCAAGAAGCUAAUGAAACAGCAUGAUCAUUACACAGGUGCACCUUGUGGUGGGGACAAUAAAAGGUCACUCUAAAAUGUGUAGUUUUGUCACAUAACACAAUGCCACAAGUAGCUGACUGUAGGAAUGUCCAACAGAGCUAUUGCCAGAGAAUGUCAUGUUUAUUUCUAUACCAUAAGCCACAUCCAACAUCCCUUUAGAGAAUUUGACUGUACAUUCGACCAGCCUUAAAACCUCAGACCACGUGUAACCACACCAUCCCAGUACCUCCUCAUCUGGCUUCUUCACCUGAAGCAUCAUCUGAGGAGGGGGACAAGCUCUUUUGUGGUGAAAAACUCAUUCUUAUUUGCUGGGCCUGACUCCCCAGUAAGUGGGCCUUUACCCUUCCAAGCCCACCCAUGGCUGCACCCCUGCCCAGUCAUGUGAAAUCCAUAGAUUAGGACCUAAUUGAUUUAUUUCAAUGGACUAAUUUCCUUCUAUGAACUGUAACUCAGUAAAAUCUUUGAAAUCGUUGCAUGUUGCAUUUAUAUUUUUUGUUCAGUAUAGGUUACGCAAAGGUGCACAGAAUCAGUUUACUCUACUGUCAGAUCAGCCUCAGAUCAGCUUCUCCCUGCUGCCCUGCUAGCAGCCUGCCUUGAUCAAGGUGAAUCACAAGUGGGUCAAAGGGAGGAGGAUACAGUCUUUACCACAGGGCCCUGGGCAAAAGCAGGGACCAUCUUAAAAAGCUUAUGCACUCUCUCUCUCUCCAAAUCACGGCAGCCAAGUCACGACUGAGUGAGACACCAGAUGUGAACUUUUGUGUGGACUUUUUUGGCCAUUUGUUACUAUUAACAGGAACGUUUGAUGGAAUAAAUAUCUCAUUUUCUGGACUUACAUAAAAAGGUGGUAUAGUCAAACUGCACUUUUAUUGCUGACUUGGCAUGGAAAACCUGUUAAUCCAUGCCAAGGCAAUAUUCCAUCAACAAGGGCCUCUCACGUCCACGGCCUAAGCACUAGUCAUGUGACCAGGGUUUGGAGGCGGCCUCUGUGAACUACACCUGAACCCAGCUAAAUGGAAACAGCCCAAAUACACAGAGUGCGUCAUGAUGAAAGCAUUUCCCCAGAGAGCUGUUUGCUGGUGUUUUGAGGAGUGGAUGUGGGUUAUCAAGCAGUGCAGGACAGAAGAAUAGCUCUUUCCCAGAGGAGUGAGUAGCUAAGAUAGCUGUCUAGGCAGCAAUAUCACUGUGGAAAAACACAGUAAUUAUAGAGGUGAUAAUCAAACCACUCUGAUCACUUUGGUACAUAACUGGAUUGUAAUAAAAAGUAACACAAUAACAUAACAAUCAUUUAUAUAAUUCUAUAUACAGGGGGUACCAGUACCAAGUCAAUCAGCGGGGGUACUGGCUCUGGACAUCUCCAAUUGUUGGAUUUGGACAGUCCACGUUGUUGCACAUGGCAGCAGCUCCUACUUCACAUUGGUUAGGCUAGCAUUUCCACAACCCCUUCAAAUAUUUAUUACCUUUAUUUAACUAGGCAAGUCAGUUAAGAACAAAUUCUUAUUUUCAUUGAUGGUCUAGGAACAGUGAGUUAACACUCUAGUUCAGGGGCAGAAUGACAGAUUUUUACCUUGUCAGCUCGGGGAUUCAAUCUUGCAACCUUCUAAAUACUAGUCCAACGCUCUAACCACUAGGCUACCUGCCGCCCCAAAUACUGACAGAGAGGAUAGGGUAGGAGAACGAGAAGUCUACCAGACAGCUGAGCAUGUAUCGGGCAUCAAACAGGAAAAUGGAAUCCCUACGUGGAUAUAAAUUGUUCUCCAAAAACCUUGCACUAACAAAUGUACAAAACGUAUAAGUUUGUGCUUUAUAGAACACCCACACAAAGACUGAGAGCUUACAAAGUGUGGGUGGUGUAAACAGAGCAUCCUCCUACACAUGGUGGUCCACUGACAGUGGAGGUGGUACAGUCAUUUGUGAAAAUGCUUGUGAACACAUAAUGUACAUGUACAUGCACGCCCGCACACACACACACACACACACACACACACAAACACACAUGGGUCUUUCCACCAAUUCGGUGCCUUUUGAGAAAUGUAACUUGGUAAAAAAUUACUUGUCAAUUCAC
rnacentral:lncRNA from 1 species